GGUUUCAAAGCGGCGCCCUCCGACCACGGGGCUGAUUGGGUCCCUGGGGCAGGUGCAGGUGGGUGGGCUCCAGCUCACUUGUUGGUCCUGACUUUACCAUUAAGCGGAUACUGAAAAGGCAAGUCAUGUCACCUCUCCACAUGUUAAUUUUUCCGUGUCUGAAAAGGCUGCAGUGAAACCAUCUGGGACAGGAUAUCCAUAUGCAAGCCUCCAGAGUCCGUGCAACCAUGAGCCAACCUGAGGAAUCAGCAGUGAGGAUACUAGCCCUGGCCAGAGAUUUGAACACGUGAGGGCGAUACAGAGAAUCUGGGGACAGAAGCUGUGUUGGAGGUGUCACCUGGGUGAGAAAAAACGUGGGACUGAGAAACACCUCUGCUUCCUGGUCACCCGCUGAGGGGUCCGAGGAGUUACAGCAACAUUCUUUGACUGCAUCUCCCAUCCUCUCAACAUCGCUCCUCAGGUUAUGUCGUCUUAUUAGUGAAUGAAAAUGGAAAUCAAAGGUGAUUUGUUGGGGGGGGAGGGUUUUCAUAACUUCUAAAAAUUGUGCCAAGCCCUGGCUGGUGUGGCUCAGUGGGUUGGGCAUCAUCCCACAAAUCGAAAGGUCACCAGUUCAAUUCCCGGCCAGGGGCAUGUGCCUAGGUUGCGGGUUCAGUCUCUAGUGGAGACACAUAUGCAAGGCAAGCUGUCGAUGCUUCUUUCUCACAUCGAUGUUUCUCUGCACUCUUUCACCCUCCCUCCCCUAUCUCCAAAAAUAAGUAAAUAAAGAUUAAGUAAAUAAAGAUAA